rnacentral:rRNA from 1 species
UACGUAGGGUGCGAGCGUUAAUCGGAAUUACUGGGCGUAAAGCGUGCGCAGGCGGUUCGUUGUGUCGGCGGUGAAAGCCCCUGGGCUUAACCUGGGAAUGGCCGUUGAAACUGGCGAACUGGAGUGUGGCAGAGGGGGGUGGAAUUCCGCGUGUAGCAGUGAAAUGCGUAGAGAUGCGGAGGAACACCGAUGGCGAAGGCAGCCCCCCUGGGCUAACACUGACGCUCAGGCACGAAAGCGUGGGGAGCAAACAGG